UACGAAGGGGGCUAGCGUUGCUCGGAAUCACUGGGCGUAAAGGGUGCGUAGGCGGGCCUUUAAGUCAGGGGUGAAAUCCUGGAGCUCAACUCCAGAACUGCCUUUGAUACUGAGGAUCUUGAGUCCGGGAGAGGUGAGUGGAACUGCGAGUGUAGAGGUGAAAUUCGUAGAUAUUCGCAAGAACACCAGUGGCGAAGGCGGCUCACUGGCCCGGUACUGACGCUGAGGCACGAAAGCGUGGGGAGCAAACAGG
rnacentral:rRNA from 1 species